rnacentral:rRNA from 1 species
UGGGGAAUAUUGGACAAUGGGGGAAACCCUGAUCCAGCAAUGCCGCGUGAGUGAAGAAGGCCUUAGGGUUGUAAAGCUCUUUCGCCCGCGAAGAUAAUGACGGUAGCGGGAGAAGAAGCCCCGGCUAACUCCGUGCCAGCAGCCGCGGUAAUACGGAGGGGGCUAGCGUUGUUCGGAAUUACUGGGCGUAAAGCGUACGUAGGCGGAUGCGCAAGUUGGGGGUGAAAUCCCGGGGCUUAACCUCGGAAUUGCCCUCAAAACUGCACGUCUUGAGACCGAGAGAGGUAAGGGGAAUUCCUAGUGUAGAGGUGAAAUUCGUAGAUAUUAGGAAGAGCACCAGUGGCGAAGGCGCCUUACUGGCUCGGUACUGACGCUGAGGUACGAAAGCGUGGGGAGCAAACA